rnacentral:lncRNA from 1 species
UUCUCCCUGUUGGUGAAGCUGGCCUCAAACUCGCGACCUCAGGUAUUCGAUGAGAUCAGGAGCAUGCCCAGCUCUCCACUGCGGGCUUCAUGUAAGAGGAGAGCCAUGAUAAUGUAUUGCAUUAUUCUUGUACAGUAAUCAGGAUGCAACAGAGUCAUCAGCAAAUAUACAACUUCAUAUCAACUAAAGGUACUUUACACAAGAGAAGAGACUCCAAGGCAACAGAUUUCCUAUAGCAGUCUUUUCCUAAGAGUACUAAGGUAAUUAGCCUCAACAGGAGAUAAUUUCGGUUCACAGGGGUUGCUGUUGUUUUAAGUGUUUCUGGGAAAAUUGGAUUUUCCAUUGAUAGCAGUUUUAACAUGUCACACUGGAGCCAGAGUGAAUUAAACUGAAGAGCUACACAGUCUAAACAAACAUUCC